rnacentral:tRNA from 1 species
GGCCCGGUAAUGUAUUAGCAUGUAAGAUUGCAAGUCUUAUAGUGAGGCGUAGAUCCUCCGGGGCUU